UUGACUUCAGCAGCACAUAUACUAAAAUUGGAACGAUACAGAGAAGAUUAGCAUGGCCCCUGCACAGGAUGAUACGCAAUUCGUGAAGACAACCCAGGUAGAU